rnacentral:rRNA from 1 species
UGGGGAAUAUUGCACAAUGGAGGGAACUCUGAUGCAGCGACGCCGCGUGAGUGAUGAAGGAAUUCGUUUCGUAAAACUCUGUUCUAUGGGAAGAAAAGGACUGUACCAUAGGAGAAAGCUCCGGCUAAAUACGUGCCAGCAGCCGCGGUAAUACGUAUGGAGCGAGCGUUGUCCGGAAUUAUUGGGCGUAAAGGGUGCGCAGGCGGCUUUACAAGUUGGAUGUGAAAUAUUGUGGCUCAACCACAAACGUGCAUCCAAAACUGCAAAGCUUGAGUUAAGGAGAGGUAAGUGGAAUUCCUGGUGUAGCGGUGGAAUGCGUAGAUAUCAGGAGGAAUACCGGUGGCGAAGGCAGGUCACUGGGCCGUUACUGACACUGAGGAGCGAAAGCGUGGGGAGCGAACAGG